rnacentral:rRNA from 1 species
CCUACGGGCGGCUGCAGUGAGGAAUAUUGGUCAAUGGACGAGAGUCUGAACCAGCCAAGUAGCGUGAAGGAUGACUGCCCUAUGGGUUGUAAACUUCUUUUAUAUGGGAAUAAAACGUUCCACGUGUGGGAGUUUGUAUGUACCAUAUGAAUAAGGAUCGGCUAAUUCCGUGCCAGCAGCCGCGGUAAUACGGAGGGUCCGAGCGUUAUCCGGAUUUAUUGGGUUUAAAGGGAGCGUAGGUGGGUUGUUAAGUGUGUUGUGAAAGUUUGGGGCUCAACCGUAAAAGUGCAGUGGAAACUGGCAGUCUUGAGUACAGUAGAGGUGGGCGGAAGUCGUGGUGUAGCGGUGAAAUGCUUAGAUAUCACGAAGAACUCCGAUUGCGAAGGCAGUUCACUGGACUGCAACUGACACUGAGGCUCGAAAGUGUGGGUAUCAAACAGGAUUAGAUACCCGUGUAGUC